rnacentral:tRNA from 1 species
UGGCUCAGUUGGCAGAGCAUGGUGUUUGCAAUGCCAGGGUUGUGGGUUGGAUUCCCAC